UGUAGUUACAUGAAGCAUAGAUGAGCUUCCACAGCUGGCAGAGGAGGCAUUCAUGGUAGGUUUCUCUUGAGCCGUAGAAGAUUCGAUGUAUUCCUUCAGCUGUUGAAUUGUUUGAUCAAAUUUGUCCUGUCUGGCAUUCAAUUCUCUAAACAAGGUCUCGAUUAGCGCACGCAUUUCCGUCAUCUCCAUGGCAGUAGGUGUGGUUUGCUGCUUCUGUUCUUCAGCCAUUUAGAAGUAUUUUGAAUUCAUACUUUAAGCUGGCUAAGGUCCUAACUCUAGAG
rnacentral:lncRNA from 1 species